GUGAUUGCUUAGGCAGUGCAUAUACUAAAAUUAGACCUAUACAGGAAAGAUUAGCAUGGUCCUUCACAAGGGAGGCAUGCAAAUUAAUGAAGUGUUCCAUAUUUUU
ensembl:snRNA U6 U6 spliceosomal RNA